rnacentral:lncRNA from 1 species
ACAAAGUUGUUGGAGGUCGCCAUUUUUGUUUUUGAUUAGAUUCAAGAUAAACGAGUGAGGAGAUUGAAGAUCAUUUUGAUGCUACGGAAAAAACAAGUCGUCUCCCUCCUAAGGUGUUUUAUCUGUUAACUUUUCAUCUUGGAGGCUCUUAUAGUUAAUUAAUUAAGAGGAACAUCAGAAGAACUCCAGAUGCCAUUAAAUUAUGGACCAUUGGUUGUGUUAGUUAUCAAUUGCUCCGGAAAGUAGUUGUACCUAUGGCCCUAAAAAAAGCAUAAAAAUACCAUUCUUCCAUUGGGAAUGGAGACAGUGUGCUGUUGCUGAAAAAGGGAUUUAUGACAGUGAACUGGUAUGUAACAGUAUCAAUUAAAAGUAGUGGGUGAGGGAGGUCCCAGAAACUUAAAUUUCUUAGACAUUUGAAACUUGCUUCAAUACACAGUGUUUAAACAUUUCAGAAAUGGCAUAUGCAGAACAGCAGAAUUAAUAUGGAACUGAUCUUUUCGUCAAUCUGAAUUUUACUGAUUUACUUGCUUUAAAAAUGGUAAUUAAUUACUUUUUCUUGCCCGUUUCUAUAGAUUGUCCAACGGUAAGAAAGAAUUGCAGUUAAUUAUGGUGCUAACGAAGCAAUCGAUGCUUUUAAUGUCUUCACUUUACAAUAUUAUGCAGUUAGUUUUGGUCAUGGGAGGCAAUUGGAAAUUAAUUUGGGAGCCACUGAAACAACAAGUUGUCUUCAGUGGUAUUCCUCUUAUAUUUGUUUCAUGGCUCAUCAUACUGGUAGACUUUAGAAUUACUUUCUACAGUUAGUUAAGGUGAAAAUACAAGACGUGCUUCAUGCAGUAACUUUCUUGAGGAGAUUGAAGUUCAUUUUGAUGCUACUGAAAAAACAAGUUGUCUCCAUUCUAUGGUGUUUUAUCUCUUAACUUUUCAUCUUGGGGACUCUUGCAGUUAAUUAAUUAAGAUUGUUGCAACAAAUUAGGAGGAACUGGUGGUAUUGAAACAAGCGAUGCUUUUGAUGUUUUCACUUUGCAACAUUAUGCAGUUAGUUUUGGCCAUGAGAACGGGAGGCAAUUGGAAAUUAAUUUGAAAGCCACUGAAACAACAAAUUGUCUGCAGUGGUAUCCCUCCUAUAUUUGGUUUGCUCAUCACACUGGUAGACUUUAGAACGCUACAUUCUACAGUUAGUCAAGAUCGUUCAACAAAUAAGAGGGAGUUGAAAGUUCAAUUUGGUCGUACUAAAACAACCAUUGUCUACAUGGGUGUGGUCUUUGGUGAACUAUAUUCUUGAUUUGCUGUUUUCGUCUUCACUCUACAUUAUUAUGCA